GACGAACGCUGGCGGCGUGCUUAACACAUGCAAGUCGAGCGGUAAGGCCCUUCGGGGUACACGAGCGGCGAACGGGUGAGUAACACGUGAGCAAUCUGCCCUUCACUUUGGGAUAACCACCGGAAACGGUGGCUAAUACCGGAUACGACCAUCCCAGGCAUCUGGUGGUGGUGGAAAGUUCUGGCGGUGGAGGAUGAGCUCGCGGCCUAUCAGCUUGUUGGUGGGGUAAUGGCCUACCAAGGCGACGACGGGUAGCCGGCCUGAGAGGGUGACCGGCCACACUGGGACUGAGACACGGCCCAGACUCCUACGGGAGGCAGCAGUGGGGAAUAUUGGACAAUGGGCGAAAGCCUGAUCCAGCAACGCCGCGUGAGGGAUGACGGCCUUCGGGUUGUAAACCUCUUUCAGUAGGGACGAAGCUAACGUGACGGUACCUACAGAAGAAGCACCGGCCAACUACGUGCCAGCAGCCGCGGUAAUACGUAGGGUGCGAGCGUUGUCCGGAAUUAUUGGGCGUAAAGGGCUCGUAGGCGGUUUGUCACGUCGGGAGUGAAAACUCGGGGCUUAACCCCGAGCCUGCUUCCGAUACGGGCUGACUAGAGGUAUGCAGGGGAGAACGGAAUUCCUGGUGUAGCGGUGAAAUGCGCAGAUAUCAGGAGGAACACCGGUGGCGAAGGCGGUUCCCUGGGCAUUACCUGACGCUGAGGAGCGAAAGUGUGGGGAGCGAACAGGAUUAGAUACCCUGGUAGUCCACACCGUAAACGUUGGGCGCUAGGUGUGGGACUCAUUCCACGAGUUCCGUGCCGCAGCUAACGCAUUAAGCGCCCCGCCUGGGGAGUACGGCCGCAAGGCUA
rnacentral:rRNA from 1 species